CAGUGGACUCAUCCAUAAAGUAGAAAGCACUACUAAACGCCUGUGCCCAAGUGUAGUGUUUCCUACUUUAUGGAUGAGUGUACUGU
rfam:Anolis carolinensis unplaced genomic scaffold chrTn0095, whole genome shotgun sequence.